ensembl:snoRNA LOC120100279 small nucleolar RNA SNORD115
GGGUCAAUGAUGACAACAGAAAGUCAAGAAUAGGUUGAUGACAUAAAAAUCAUGCUCAAUAAGAUGACGCUGAGGUCC